GAUGCAUAUGACGAUAAAAUUAGACAGGGACAUCAGAAACUCUUGAAAGAGUUUUACAUGUUGAUCAGUCUAAAAUGGGAAUCUCUCUGAUGCAUU